GCGUUGUUCGGAAUUACUGGGCGUAAAGGGCGCGUAGGCGGGUCUGUAAGUCGGGUGUGAAAGCCCCGGGCUCAACCUGGGAAUUGCAUUCGAGACUGCAUUGCUGGAGUACGGAAGAGGAAGGCGGAAUUCCCGGUGUAGCGGUGAAAUGCGUAGAUAUCUGGAGGAACACCGGUGGCGAAGGCGGCAUCCUGGACCGGUAUUGACGCUGAGGCGCGAAAGCCAGGGGAGCAAACGGG
rnacentral:rRNA from 1 species